rnacentral:rRNA from 1 species
AAACCGUUCGGGGGUAAACGGACAGAGCCCGUGAAUCCGGGCGGCGGAAUUCAGAAUCGACGGCGUUCGCGCGUCGUCGGUUCGAUAUUUCCGUCGCCGUUUCCAAUUACGGACGUCGCGACCCGUUCGGUGUCGGUCUGAGGAGACGUGUGAAAGUUCGACGGCGCGUUGUCGAGUCGUUUCGGCGGCUAGGCGCGCGUCUUCGAGUCGCGUUUUUCAAUUCUGGCCGACUCGCCGGACGGUACGUGUGACGGUGGCCGCGGCGACCUGGCGUCGUCGUUGGUACCGGUCUGCGACGAAUCUUCGGGCCUCUUUCCGA